CGUUACCUGCUUGGUACGUGAUGGGUCCACUUAAACCCACAUCAUUUGAUAGGGAUGCCGGACUUUGCCGCCCGAUUGCAGGCCUCCCGCUCCGGCUCGACCGUGAGCGGACGUUGGAAGCAGAGAAAGCCGCAAGAGGCAACCCACCUGCCUUUUCGUGCAGGUUAUAACUGGAUUCACACGGCCAAAGCGGGGUUAGA
rnacentral:other from 1 species